AUUGAACGCUGGCGGCAGGCCUAACACAUGCAAGUCGAGCGGAUGAAGGGAGCUUGCUCCUGGAUUCAGCGGCGGACGGGUGAGGAAUGCCUAGGAAUCUGCCUGGUAGGGGGGGAUAACGUCCGGAAACGGGCGCUAAUACCGCAUACGGCCUGAGGGAGAAAGUGGGGGGUCUUCGGACCUCACGCUAUCAGAUGAGCCUAGGUCGGAUUAGCUAGUUGGUGGGGUAAAGGCCUACCAAGGCGACGAUCCGUAACUGGUCUGAGAGGAUGAUCAGUCACACUGGAACUGAGACACGGUCCAGACUCCUACGGGAGGCAGCAGUGGGGAAUAUUGGACAAUGGGCGAAAGCCUGAUCCAGCCAUGCCGCGUGUGUGAAGAAGGUCUUCGGAUUGUAAAGCACUUUAAGUUGGGAGGAAGGGCAGUAAGUUAAUACCUUGCUGUUUUGACGUUACCAACAGAAUAAGCACCGGCUAACUUCGUG
rnacentral:rRNA from 1 species